rnacentral:rRNA from 1 species
UACGGGGGGAGCAAGCGUUGUUCGGAUUUACUGGGCGUAAAGGGCGCGUAGGCGGCCACCGCAAGUCGGUUGUGAAAUCUCUGGGCUUAACCCAGAAAGGUCAACCGAUACUGCGGGGCUAGAGUGCAGAAGGGGCAACUGGAAUUCUCGGUGUAGCGGUGAAAUGCGUAGAUAUCGAGAGGAACACCUGCGGCGAAGGCGGGUUGCUGGGCCGACACUGACGCUGAAGCGCGAAAGCUAGGGGAGCGAACGGG